rnacentral:rRNA from 1 species
GGGACACGUGGUAUCCUGUCUGAAUAUGGGGGGACCAUCCUCCAAGGCUAAAUACUCCUGACUGACCGAUAGUGAACCAGUACCGUGAGGGAAAGGCGAAAAGAACCCCGGCGAGGGGAGUGAAAAAGAACCUGAAACCGUGUACGUACAAGCAGUGGGAGCCUCUUAAUGGGGUGACUGCGUACCUUUUGUAUAAUGGGUCAGCGACUUAUAUUCUGUAGCAAGGUUAACCGAAUAGGGGAGCCGAAGGGAAACCGAGUCUUAACUGGGCGUUAAGUUGCAGGGUAUAGACCCGAAACCCGGUGAUCUAGCCAUGGGCAGGUUGAAGGUUGGGUAACACUAACUGGAGGACCGAACCGACUAAUGUUGAAAAAUUAGCGGAUGACUUGUGGCUGGGGGUGAAAGGCCAAUCAAACCGGGAGAUAGCUGGUUCUCCCCGAAAGCUAUUUAGGUAGCGCCUCGUGAAUUCAUCUCCGGGGGUAGAGCACUGUUUCGGCAAGGGGGUCAUCCCGACUUACCAACCCGAUGCAAACUGCGAAUACCGGAGAAUGUUAUCACGGGAGACACACGGCGGGUGCUAACGUCCGUCGUGAAGAGGGAAACAACCCAGACCGCCAGCUAAGGUCCCAAAGUCAUGGUUAAGUGGGAAACGAUGUGGGAAGGCCCAGACAGCCAGGAUGUUGGCUUAGAAGCAGCCAUCAUUUAAAGAAAGCGUAAUAGCUCACUGGUCGAGUCGGCCUGCGCGGAAGAUGUAACGGGGCUAAACCAUGCACCGAAGCUGCGGCAGCGACGCUUAUGCGUUGUUGGGUAGGGGAGCGUUCUGUAAGCCUGUGAAGGUGUGCUGUGAGGCAUGCUGGAGGUAUCAGAAGUGCGAAUGCUGACAUAAGUAACGAUAAAGCGGGUGAAAAGCCCGCUCGCCGGAAGACCAAGGGUUCCUGUCCAACGUUAAUCGGGGCAGGGUGAGUCGACCCCUAAGGCGAGGCCGAAAGGCGUAGUCGAUGGGAAACAGGUUAAUAUUCCUGUACUUGGUGUUACUGCGAAGGGGGGACGGAGAAGGCUAUGUUGGCCGGGCGACGGUUGUCCCGGUUUAAGCGUGUAGGCUGGUUUUCCAGGCAAAUCCGGAAAACCAAGGCUGAGGCGUGAUGACGAGGCACUACGGUGCUGAAGCGACAAAUGCCCUGCUUCCAGGAAAAGCCUCUAAGCAUCAGGUAACAUCAAAUCGUACCCCAAACCGACACAGGUGGUCAGGUAGAGAAUACCAAGGCGCUUGAGAGAACUCGGGUGAAGGAACUAGGCAAAAUGGUGCCGUAACUUCGGGAGAAGGCACGCUGAUAUGUAGGUGAAGCGACUUGCUCGUGGAGCUGAAAUCAGUCGAAGAUACCAGCUGGCUGCAACUGUUUAUUAAAAACACAGCACUGUGCAAACACGAAAGUGGACGUAUACGGUGUGACGCCUGCCCGGUGCCGGAAGGUUAAUUGAUGGGGUUAGCGGCAACGCGAAGCUCUUGAUCGAAGCCCCGGUAAACGGCGGCCGUAACUAUAACGGUCCUAAGGUAGCGAAAUUCCUUGUCGGGUAAGUUCCGACCUGCACGAAUGGCGUAAUGAUGGCCAGGCUGUCUCCACCCGAGACUCAGUGAAAUUGAACUCGCUGUGAAGAUGCAGUGUACCCGCGGCAAGACGGAAAGACCCCGUGAACCUUUACUAUAGCUUGACACUGAACAUUGAGCCUUGAUGUGUAGGAUAGGUGGGAGGCUUUGAAGUGUGGACGCCAGUCUGCAUGGAGCCGACCUUGAAAUACCACCCUUUAAUGUUUGAUGUUCUAACGUUGGCCCCUAAUCGGGGUUGCGGACAGUGUCUGGUGGGUAGUUUGACUGGGGCGGUCUCCUCCUAAAGAGUAACGGAGGAGCACGAAGGUUGGCUAAUCCUGGUCGGACAUCAGGAGGUUAGUGCAAUGGCAUAAGCCAGCUUGACUGCGAGCGUGACGGCGCGAGCAGGUGCGAAAGCAGGUCAUAGUGAUCCGGUGGUUCUGAAUGGAAGGGCCAUCGCUCAACGGAUAAAAGGUACUCCGGGGAUAACAGGCUGAUACCGCCCAAGAGUUCAUAUCGACGGCGGUGUUUGGCACCUCGAUGUCGGCUCAUCACAUCCUGGGGCUGAAGUAGGUCCCAAGGGUAUGGCUGUUCGCCAUUUAAAGUGGUACGCGAGCUGGGUUUAGAACGUCGUGAGACAGUUCGGUCCCUAUCUGCCGUGGGCGCUGGAGAACUGAGGGGGGCUGCUCCUAGUACGAGAGGACCGGAGUGGACGCAUCACUGGUGUUCGGGUUGUCAUGCCAAUGGCACUGCCCGGUAGCUAAAUGCGGAAGAGAUAAGUGCUGAAAGCAUCUAAGCACGAAACUUGCCCCGAGAUG